GAACAUCUGAUUAUUUUUUUAGAUGUCAUUUACUCUGAUCCUAAGUGUAAUUUAUGGCAAUUACAAAAGUACACUUUAUGUCCCAUCUCUGGUUCAUCCUGUUCUUAACUCUGAUUGUAGCAACCUCUAUUCAUUAGGAUUCUGAACCAAAUAAAUGUGGAAAAGAGAAGCCCAAAUUGAUUUUCAGAAGUGGCAAAUCACAAUUAAACUUAGUUUUUAAAUCAACUGUUCCCAACUUUUUCCUUCUUUUUAGCAGCAGAGAGGGCUGAUUAUUUAAACCAAAAACUCUGCCUCAUCGUACUCUGCACUGUACAAACGCUUCCUCUCCCUUCUUCCCCAAAAGGCAACAUUUUGACUUGACAACUACCACAAGACACUGAAACCUUCCCUAUAAACACUCCACAAAGAUUGCAUCUAAUCACAGCUUGGAUUUAAGGGAGAAAAAGAGGCAGGGAAAAGCAUGAAUCAGACAUAAGCAAUGUGAAAAGUCC
rnacentral:lncRNA from 1 species